rnacentral:rRNA from 1 species
CCUACGGGAGGCUGCAGUGGGGAAUUUUGCGCAAUGGGCGAAAGCCUGACGCAGCAACGCCGCGUGGGUGAUGAAGGUCUUCGGAUCGUAAAACCCUGUCGUUGGGGACGAAGGUGGGGGCGUUAAUAGCGUUUCUGCUUGACGGUACCCGGAGAGGAAGCCCCGGCUAACUCUGUGCCAGCAGCCGCGGUAAUACAGAGGGGGCAAGCGUUAUUCGGAAUUAGUGGAGGUGGAGGGCGCAUACGCGGUUGUAAUCCCCGAGGUCAACUUGGGAAAUGCAUCUGAGACUGGAAGGCUAGAGUACUGGAGAGGGUGGUGGAAUUCCGCGUGUAGCGGUGAAAUGCGUAGAGAUGAGGAGGAACACCAGUGGCGAAGGCGGCCACCUGGACAGUAACUGACGCUGAGGCGCGAAAGUGUGGGUAGCAAACAGGAUUAGAUACCCUAGUAGUC